ensembl:lncRNA novel transcript, antisense to MYT1L
CACAGUACAUGGUUCCUGGCACUCAGAAGGCAUCCCUGAUCACAGGUGCUUACGCAGGGAGGGGCCUGUGUCGCGAGUGGGUGUGGGGGCCUGGCUGGGAGCUGGGCCGGCCACCUCGGCCGUCAUCAAUGAUGUGCGCUGGCGGACCUGAGUCUGCAUUUCCAGAAACAUCGAGUUGCCUGUGGUAAAGCAGGGAGCCCUCUGACGAAGAAACAGCAGCUCCUGAGUGCUCUGGCAGCCAUGGAGUCUCCUAUACAGUCCAAGAUGCUGCCUCCAUGGCCUCGGCUGGUCCCGGGGGUGAGGAAUGCCACAGGCUGUUACUCCAUUCCCCAAGCCUAACGUUCAGGUGUCUCUUCACUUUUCUCAGCCACUGGUUUGUCGACGUCAGGAUGCGUCUCAGCUCUUCACAGUGUAUGUGGCAGAUGUGGCUGGCAGCCUCCGGGGCAGGAAGGCACCUCUGCCUCCUUUUCUGUCCUGUUGGGUGUUUGCUGAAGAUGGCGUGUCCUGUGUGCGGAGCGCCUCUUCCAUGCAGUCCCGUGCCUCGGCUUCCUCACAACUCCUCAGUCUCCGAGGGGCCUUCCCUCCCUUCCAGGGGCUCCUGGACGUGCUGGUCAACUGGAGUCCUCACUGUGCUAAAGGCCAGGGGCCAUCUGGCACUUAACUAUGGAGUGAGAAGGCGUCGUCCACCAACCAGAGAGCAGCAGUUGCCAGAUGCCGAAUCUGCUGGUGCCUCGGUCUCGGACUUCCAGUCUCCAGAACUUGGAGGAAUAAAUUUCUGGUUUCUAUGCUGCCCAAGGUAUGUGGGAGAAGGAGCAGCGGGGACUUUAACCCCAGCGUCAUCAGCUCCAGCAUCAUCAGCUCUGGCGUCAUCAGCUCUGGCGUCAUCAGCUCCAGCAUCAUCAGCUCCCGCGUCCUAUCCCAUCCCAGGGCAAGCCGCACGGGAAGCCCCAGGAGCAGAGAGGCCUCUGGGAACUGGGUGGCCUGACAGGGUGGGCACGGUGGGCGCC